AGGACGAACGCUGGCGGCGUGCUUAACACAUGCAAGUCGAGCGGUAAGGCUCUUUCGGGAGUACACGAGCGGCGAACGGGUGAGUAACACGUGAGCAAUCUGCCCUUCACUUCGGGAUAACUCCGGGAAACCGGUGCUAAUACCGAAUAUGACCACUUCACGCAUGUGAUGGUGGUGGAAAGUUCUGGCGGUGGAGGAUGAGCUCGCGGCCUAUCAGCUUGUUGGUGGGGUAAUGGCCCACCAAGGCAACGACGGGUAGCCGGCCUGAGAGGGUGACCGGCCACACUGGGACUGAGACACGGCCCAGACUCCUACGGGAGGCAGCAGUGGGGAAUAUUGGACAAUGGGCGAAAGCCUGAUCCAGCAACGCCGCGUGAGGGAUGACGGCCUUCGGGUUGUAAACCUCUUUCGCGAGGGACGAAGCUCUGACGGUACCUCGAAAGGAGCACCGGCUAACUCUGUGCCAGCAGCCGC
rnacentral:rRNA from 1 species